rnacentral:lncRNA from 1 species
GACAGUCCUUUGGUGAAAUGAGACUCACCUGAUGGUCUCUGGGAGCAUCUUGAUGAGAGGAGGGACCUCUCCAGAGUCUGAGACGUUGGUAGGGGCCAUUUUUCUGACCUGGUCCAGGCCUGCUGACACCGACCCUAGUAGGUGCCAUUGAGAUUCAUCCCUUGGCCUGUUAGCCCAGGGGUCUGCCACACCCACUAGACCACAGAUUUAAUCCAGUUCAGUCAAGGCAAGCAGCCCACCCAUGGACUGGCCCCACCCAACAGCAAGCCCUCUGGCUACUUUUCAGCCUGCAUUGACUGGAUGCCUUGAUCCUCUACAGGCAGAUAAAAGAAGCUCAGAGGGGCCAGCCCGGUGGUGCAGUGGUUAAGUGUCCAUGUUCUGCUUCGGAGGCCCGGGGUUCACCAAUUCAGAUCCCAGGUGCGGACAUGGCACCAUUUGGCAUGCCAUGCUGUGGAAGAAGAAAUGAGAUUUGAUUGUUUCAGCUGAGGUUAAAGGAGAUAAGACAUUUAAGAAAUUGAAAUUUGGUACAAAAUUCUGCACCUAUGGCCUCAGGAGGAGCUCCUUAUGCUCAAUUGACGGAAGAAGAAAAGACUCAAGCCUGGUUUACAGAAACUACUGCAGGAUGAGUUCUGCAGGAUGUGCAGGCCCCGCUGGAAAGUAGACGGCUGCCUCACUACAGGACUCAGACUAGGACUAGAACGCACACCAUCAGCUGUUCUGAUUCUUAGGCCUUUGAACUCAGACUGCAGCCACCCCAUCGACUCUCCUGUGUCUCCAGAUUGCCGACUGCAGAUCUUGUGACUUCCCAGCCUCUAUAAUUAAGCAAGGCAAUAUCCUGUAUUAUAUAUAGGAUAUAUGCAUAUAAUAUAUCCUAUUGGUUCUGUUUCUCUGGUGAACCUUGACUGAUAUACUCAUCAUACCAAGAAUACACUAACUAUUCCAGAACCAACUCCAUCACUCACUCAAAACCAACUUCUUCACAUGGCAUUUAAUUCUAUAUAUAUAUCUCAGAAAUUUCUAUGAAUAUGUUUUUUCACACAUGUGUAUACUAUAUGUGUGUAUGUAGAUUAUGUAUAUACAAUAUGUAACUAUAUAUCUAUAUAUGUAUAUAUGUACAUGUAAAUAUAUAUGAACACUUAUAUGAGAAUUUUUGUGCAAUAGCUCAUAAAAACAUGGGGGACAGAGAAACAGAGAGACAGAAACAGAAGAAAGAGACAGAGACAGAGAGCUGGAGACAGAGUAAAAGACAUAGCAACAGAUCGAUAAUUCAUUUUCUUGGGGUUUUAUAUAAAAAUGUAGUAUUUUUGUUCAGCACAUUUUUAUUGUUUGAAUAACUGUUUAACCUAAUACUAUUUUGGUUUCAUAUUUGUUUUUACGUUUUUACUUGUGUCUUUUGUUACUGGAACAAAUAAAAUGUAUUUAGUAAGAGAAA